rnacentral:rRNA from 1 species
GCACCGGCCAACUACGUGCCAGCAGCCGCGGUAAUACGUAGGGUGCGAGCGUUGUCCGGAAUUAUUGGGCGUAAAGAGCUCGUAGGCGGUCUGUCGCGUCGGUCGUGAAAACUUGGGGCUUAACCCUGAGCUCGCGGUCGAUACGGGCAUGACUGGAGUUCGGCAGGGGAGACUGGAAUUCCUGGUGUAGCGGUGAAAUGCGCAGAUAUCAGGAGGAACACCGGUGGCGAAGGCGGGUCUCUGGGCCGGUACUGACGCUGAGGAGCGAAAGCGUGGGGAGCGAACAGGAUUAGAUACCCUGGUAGUCCACGCCGUAAACGGUGGGCGCUAGGUGUGGGGGCCAUUCCACGGCCUCUGUGCCGCAGCUAACGCAUUAAGCGCCCCGCCUGGGGAGUAC